rnacentral:rRNA from 1 species
CAGUCGCCGCGGGAAAACGAAGGGGGCUAGCGUUGUUCGGAAUUACUGGGCGUAAAGCGCACGUAGGCGGACAUUUAAGUCAGGGGUGAAAUCCCGGGGCUCAACCCCGGAACUGCCUUUGAUACUGGGUGUCUAGAGUAUGGAAGAGGUGAGUGGAAUUCCGAGUGUAGAGGUGAAAUUCGUAGAUAUUCGGAGGAACACCAGUGGCGAAGGCGGCUCACUGGUCCAUUACUGACGCUGAGGUGCGAAAGCGUGGGGAGCAAACAGGAUUAGAUACCCCUGUAGUCCCUGUCUCUUAUAC